ensembl:lncRNA
CUUCUUUGUAUAAGAGCAGUUGUGUGGUAGCACUGAUAUUCCUGCAGAAUGAGGCCUUGAGGCACAGCUGUGGGCAGCAGCACAGCCCAAAGGAAAGGACUUCUCCAGAUCCUCCUCCUCGGGGUGCCUCCUGUGCUCAGAUGUGUCCUGGAAAGAGGAAUUCUUACAGAGAGAUGUGAUGAAAUACUGCCAUGCAUGGAGGAAGUGACUGUUAAGGAGAGCAAAAAAGACCAUUUCCAAGCAUGGUAAAAGAUUGGAGUGAAUUUGAUGCUAUCGAAAGAAUGAUUUUACAGAAUAGGAGACUAGAAUUCUGCUUACAAAGUGAACAUCUUUGGAAACCCAACAAGUACUUCAAAAGAAACACUGCAGACCUCUCAGAAAUGCCUGUGGACUACUGAUGGUCUUCAAAGAAUUUGGGCGGCGCUAUGGAGCAGCGUUAAUCACUGCAGAUAAUUAGAUUGGAGGACAGCCAGCAUAGCCUGUCAUCUGGACAUCAUCAAACAAUUGCAACUGCAACGUCCUGCUCCUGUGAGUGAACACCCAAACAGCACGUGGCUACAGACUGCAGGGCAUGACUGUGCAGGUCGAGAUCUGCAUAUGUGUCACAAAAGACUUCUGGUCUCACCGUUUCCAUUGAAUGAAUUUGAAUGAAGGAGUACUUUACCAGGAUCAUGAAUACAAUGAAUCGCUUCCUGAGCGACUGUCCGAAUUACGGCCUUUCAGAGCGCAGGGACUGAUAGGAAGUGAUGCAUCACACCGGCCUGGUGAUGGUAAUGGUACAAUUACUUUGUACACAGAUGUAUUUUUAACAUGCUGGAUGGCAAACAGCGAACUUCCCAAGUGCAGGUUGUUUCUGACAGAAGCCUUCUUAGUCCAUACAGCACUCAUUGUUUAAUCCAGAUCCUUGCAUCUUUCUCUUAUCUAGCAGAGUUAGGAUUGUUAGGAUGCAGGCUAACUACUAAUGAAAGGAAUUUGAUCAGUACAGCUGGUAUAACUUGUCCUUGUGGUAGUGCCUGUGUUGGAGCAGAGGGUGACUUGUUCACAGGCCCUGAGCUGCAGCAAAACAUACUGCUAACCUACAACUUUGUCUCGUUAAGAAGCCGAUUCCUGAGUGCUCAAGUGAUGUGCUAAGGUGCCAC